GUCGCUGUAGCUCAGUUGGUAGAGCAUAGGACUCCUUGUGUCAGGAGUUCGAUUCUCCUCGGCGACA
rnacentral:tRNA from 1 species